GAUGAACGCUGGCGGCGUGCCUAAUACAUGCAAGUCGAGCGAACAGACGAGGAGCUUGCUCCUCUGACGUUAGCGGCGGACGGGUGAGUAACACGUGGAUAACCUACCUAUAAGACUGGGAUAACUUCGGGAAACCGGAGCUAAUACCGGAUAAUAUAUUGAACCGCAUGGUUCAAUAGUGAAAGACGGUUUUGCUGUCACUUAUAGAUGGAUCCGCGCCGCAUUAGCUAGUUGGUAAGGUAACGGCUUACCAAGGCAACGAUGCGUAGCCGACCUGAGAGGGUGAGCGGCCACACUGGAACUGAGACACGGUCCAGACUCCUACGGGAGGCAGCAGUAGGGAAUCUUCCGCAAUGGGCGAAAGCCUGACGGAGCAACGCCGCGUGAGUGAUGAAGGUCUUCGGAUCGUAGAACUCUGUUAUUAGGGAAGAACAAAUGUGUAAGUAACUAUGCACGUCUUGACGGUACCUAAUCAGAAAGCCACGGCUAACUACGUG
rnacentral:rRNA from 1 species